GUGUCCUACGGGGCGCAGCAGUCGAGAAUCAUUCACAAUGGGGGAAACCCUGAUGGUGCGACGCCGCGUGGGGGAAUGAAGGUCUUCGGAUUGUAAACCCCUGUCAUGUGGGAGAAAAUUAAAAAGAUAGUACCACAAGAGGAAGAGACGGCUAACUCUGUGCCAGCAGCCGCGGCAAUACAGAGGUCUCAAGCGUUGUUCGGACUCAAUGGGCGUCAAGCGUGCGUAGGCUGUUUCGUAAGUCGUGUGUGAACUGCGCGCGCUCAACCCGCGGCCGGCACA
rnacentral:rRNA from 1 species